CGCGAGCAAAGCAAGUUGGACAAAAUAAAAGUUAUGUCUUCAUUUAGAGACAGGUAUAAAUUAGCAGUGGGUGAGAUCAUUAAUUUCAUUGAUUUGGGAUUCAGUGCUUAAAGAUUCAUGCUGUAGAUUUGGAGAGGGAGAUUAUAUCAGAGGCUAUACUGGGGUCCCAACGGGAUCAAACUCCUUCAGCCUGUUGAGGCAGGUUCAUUUGCUGAACACAAAUGCGGGGGAAAGACUUAAGCUGGUCUCGGCAGAAGUUUACUCCUUGGGCUCCUCUAAACUGGGGAUAGAAAGUGACUUCUGCUUCUUGCCGACUUCUG
rnacentral:lncRNA from 11 species